rnacentral:lncRNA from 1 species
GACUCAGUCAGAAGGCCUGGGGCGUGGGAAGCCUUGUUCUUGCUGGGCUUGGGUGAUCUGCUAUUUCCGCUUUCAGAGCUGUGCUGAAGAACCAUGUUGAGCAGCAGGCGUUGGGUUUGGGGCUGCGGGCCAGCGGGAGACUGUGUAAAAAACGAUGGCCUUCCAGGCAGGGUUCUGGAGACACUUCCUCAUGUCUGUGGGAGUGUCUCAGCUGCCGCUGCCUGAAGGCUCCAGUGUUGAUCCUCUCUGCGCUUCAGCAAGAGCAAGUGCAGCUAGAGCAGGGGCUCACGGUCUCCCCUGCACUUCCUGCAGGUCUGUCCAGGGCUUCGGUGGCUGGAGAAGCUGAGCCGACGUCAGCCUUCCCUGAGGCUGCUGUGAGCUCCUGUAGGCAGCCCUCCACUCUCCAGGCGCCCACAGGAACAGACUCUCAGAAGAACUCUCAUGAAGAUGCUCCGCCAGGAAGAAGCAUUGGAGACCAAAGCUCAGCAGUGCUUGACUGCCUCUUCCCCACCUUCAGAUUUUGCAUCAAGUUUUCCUCUGCUAUUAAAGUGUUUGGGCUGGUUCUGCACAGAA